rnacentral:lncRNA from 1 species
ACUUGGCCCUGGGGAACAGUGGCAAAACCAUCCAGGAAAACAGCCUAAACUUUUGGUGCAUGGAACAUGAAUUCUUAACAGAGAUUUCAGAUUUCCUUGUCUUUGCUAAAUACAUAGUAUGAAACCCCUUAAUUUUUCUUGUUUAAUGAAUGGAGAACACAUGAGAAAAUCAGAUGGACCUGUUAGUACUACAUUUUUAAAGCAUUUUAUAUUUGAUGGUGCCGUAAUUUUAAUAAUAAAACUGAAGAUUUUUAGUGGCGAUACUGAUUUAUUUUUUAAACCAGAAAGAUAACAUCAUAUUGAUUACUUACUACAAAAAGAAAAAAAAAAAAAAAGAAAAAGAAAAAAAGCCAAAAGAAAAAAGAACUAACUCACUGUACUCAUUCAAAGUGACACAAGUGACAAAUGAGCGCUUAGCUCAAGAGGUCACUCCCUGUGAUCUUUCUGUGUGGGUGAGAGUACCCAACAGCCCAUUGCUCAGGAUUAGGAAAUGCUCUGGGUGAGACUUUUAGAUCAUUUACUAUACCUGACUGUGAUUUGAUUUAUAACUCAAGAAGAAAAGCCGGGUAGUCUGGAGUCUAGUGAGCUUAAUUCAGAUCCUAACACUGCACGUGCUGGGAAGUCCUGAUUGCAUUUUACAGUGAUCUCUUUGGAGACUUCACAUCAUGGCGUCAUCGUAUCAGCUGGGCUCAGGAACUGUAACAGCAGGGAGCUGUGGAGAAGAUGAAUCACAGCUCCAGGCUCUGGGGUCACUCUCGUCUUAGACCCCCACACCAGCAGUACCUCUCACGCUCACUCAGGAACCAGGUAUCUCCCAAGCCAUGUGGAAUCAUGCAUGGAUCGUAUCAGGAAGACCUCUAAGCUUUAGAAAUUUUUAUUUGUAGAGUGAUGGAAUUGACCAAAAAAUUAAAAAGGCAAAAGCACUGGGAGAGAUCAGGUUGUAAGAAUCUACAUUUUUUUUUUUUCCUCAUGGCAAAUCCUUAAGGGCCUUUUAUUACAAAUUAGAUUUUCAUUAAAAAAAUAAAGGAUACUUGGUGGUAUUUAAGAUCUAGGCCUACCAUGUUACAACUUCAUUUUUAUUGCUUUAGUUGCUUAAUAUUUAAGCUCUGCUUCAUGCUACCUUUUGUCUGUAUUAAAAUCUUCACAGGCCUAUUUCAUUUGUAGACUUGAAUUGUUUCUCACCUUCCAUCUGCUCAGAGUUAAAUGUUAAAGAAUGUUGUGUAACGUUAUCCAAUAAAGUCUUUGUUUUUUUUUUUUUU